rnacentral:misc_RNA from 1 species
UCUCCGUAGGUGAACCUGCGGAGGGAUCAUUACAAGUGACCCCGGUCUUACCACCGGGAUGUUCAUAACCCUUUGUUGUCCGACUCUGUUGCCUCCGGGGCGACACCGCCUUCGGGCGGGGGCUCCGGGUGGACACUUCAAACUCUUGCGUAACUUUGCAGUCUGAGUAAACUUAAUUAAUAAAUUAAAACUUUUAACAACGGAUCUCUUGGUUCUG